CAGGACACCAAUGAGAUCGUGGCCAUCAAGAAAUUCAAGGACAGUGAAGAGAAUGAGGAGGUUAAGGAGACCACGCUGCGGGAGCUGAAGAUGCUCCGGACCCUGAAGCAGGAGAACAUCGUGGAGCUGAAGGAGGCGUUCCGCCGCCGCGGAAAACUCUACCUGGUGUUCGAGUACGUGGAGAAGAACAUGCUGGAGCUGCUGGAAGAAUUACCGAACGGCGUUCCGACCGACAAAGUUCGCAGCUACAUCUUCCAGCUGAUCCGCGCCAUCCACUGGUGCCACAAACACGACAUCGUCC